AAGGAUGAAGUAUUUCGGUAUGUAAACUUCGAAAGAAUAGGAAGAAUAAAUGACGGUACUAUUUAUAAGGUCCGGCUAACUACGUGCCAGCAGCCGCGGUAAUACGUAGGGACCAAGCGUUGUUCGGAUUUACUGGGCGUAAAGGGCGCGUAGGCGGCAAUUCAAGUCAUCUGUGAAAUCUCCGGGCUUAACUCGGAACGGUCAGAUGAUACUGCUUUGCUAGAGUGCAGAAGGGGCAAUCGGAAUUCUUGGUGUAGCGGUGAAAUGCGUAGAUAUCAAGAGGAACACCUGAGGUGAAGACGGGUUGCUGGGCUGACACUGACGCUGAGGCGCGAAAGCCAGGGGAGCAAACGGGAUUAGAUACCCCGGUAGUCCUGGCCCUAAACGAUGGAUACUUGGUGUCUGGAGUCAUUAUUGCUCCGGGUGCCGUCGCUAACGUUUUAAGUAUUCCGCCUGGGGAGUACGCACGCAAGGCUGAAACUUAAAGGAAUUGACGG
rnacentral:rRNA from 1 species